rnacentral:rRNA from 1 species
AACGAACGCUGGCGGCGUGCCUAACACAUGCGAGUCGAACGUGAAAGUCCUUCGGGAUGAGUAAAGUGGCGCACGGGUGAGUAACGCGUAGAUAAUCUGCCCGAUGAUCUGGGAUAACAUUCCGAAAGGGGUGCUAAUACCGGAUAAGCCCACGGGAUCUUCGGAUCCUGCGGGAAAAGGGGGGGACCUUCGGGCCUUCUGUCAUCGGAUGAGUCUGCGUACCAUUAGCUAGUUGGUAGGGUAAUGGCCUACCAAGGCGACGAUGGUUAGCUGGUCUGAGAGGAUGAUCAGCCACACUGGAACUGAGACACGGUCCAGACUCCUACGGGAGGCAGCAGUGGGGAAUUUUGCGCAAUGGGGGAAACCCUGACGUAGCAACGCCGCGUGAGUGAUGAAGGCCUUCGGGUCGUAAAGCUCUGUCAGAGGGAAAGAAAUGUCUGAUGGCUAAUAUCCAUUGGACUUGACGGUACCCUCAAAGGAAGCACCGGCUAACUCCGUGCCAGCCGCCGCAGUAAGAC